AGCUUAAGAGUUUAAAGAGAGAAGGAACCAGUUGAGUGACAGACAAACUAUGAAAAGACUGUGUGACAGAGAAACAGAACAACCACGACACAUAGAAGAACCAAAGAACAAGAUCAUGCACAGAGAGACAAAGACUCCAUGACAAACUUCGGAACUGAGAACAUCACAGGUGACAUGGGGAAUGGCUCCUUCUCCUGCCACCACUUCUCGUUUGAGACCUUCCGCUGCUUUGGCGUGCUGUGGAAUUCGGCUGUGACCAUAGUUGGGACGGUGGGGAACGUGAUGACCAUUCUGUCCGGCUGCGGACUCGUUUCAACUCGCUGAUCGUGAACCUGGGCCUGGCGGACCAACUGUACUGCACCCUGCUGCAGCCUGCCUGUGUUGACUCCUACCUACACCUCCGCUGGAGGGGCGGCGUCUUCGGCCACCUCCUCUUCCUCUCCAACUCCGUCUCCAUCAUCACACUGUAUCUGAUCAAGGCAAGCCUCUACCUGCUGGUGGCGAGGCGGUGUGCACCUGCAGUUUCCACCGCACCAGGGGGCGCCCUUACACCACCGUGCUGCUCUUCUUCUACUUCUUCACCGGCCUGGGCUGCGCGGUGCUUUUAUUCCUGCUCAUCUACAGGCGGGUCAGGGAGGCAGCAAGGGCACCGGUCAGCUACUGACUCAGCUGACGCUUAUCACGAAGGAAGCCGACCUCAGAACCAGGGAUGGAGAGGGGCAGUGGCGUCGGGAGAGGGGUGGCCACCUUCCAGAGCUGUGAGUUGAACAGCCAGGGGGAACUACCCCAAUACAAGGGUGGAGAGGUGAAGGGGAACCCUGGGAAAGCCCAGUCCUCCCACUCCACCUGGGGGUCUGCUUUAACUUCACAUUUAGCUCACCUAGCAGGGGGACAGGAGCCCCCCCUGCCCUUAGCCCUGCGCUCCACUUUGCUGCUCCUGCCCCUAUCACUGCCCCCUCCUCCUCCACCACCUCUUCAGGGGACAAUGGAAGCCAGAAACCACCAACGGGGAGAUACCACUGUAUCAAGACCUGGGGGGUGUUAAUUAUGCAAACUACAUCCUCCUCUACAUCUUGUUUAUUUGUGUCAUUGUCUCUUGGUCUGUUUAUAAUAAAACAAAUCUGUACUUUCA